rfam:Clostridium ultunense Esp genomic scaffold, CTLT_3033
ACCAUCGUGAGGUGGAAUCUGAAGGAAGCCGGCGGCAAAUCUCCGUUCUCUAGGAACACGAACUCCAGAUGAAAAGAGAGAAACAGAUUGUGCC